rnacentral:rRNA from 1 species
ACAUGUACGGAAUCCUUUGGAGAUAGAGGAGUGCUCGAAAGAGAACCGUACACAGGUGCUGCAUGGCUGUCGUCAGCUCGUGUCGUGAGAUGUUGGGUUAAGUCCCGCAACGAGCGCAACCCUUGUCAUUAGUUGCUACAUUCAGUUUGGGCACUCUAAUGAGACUGCCGGUGACAAACCGGAGGAAGGUGGGGAUGACGUCAAGUCCUCAUGGCCCUUAUAGGUGGGGCUACACGCGUCAUACAAUGGAUGGUACAAAGGGUCGCCAACCCGCGAGGGGGAGCCAAUCCCAUAAAGCCAUUCGUAGUCCGGAUCGCAGUCUGCAACUCGACUGCGUGAAGUCGGAAUCGCUAGUAAUCGUGGAUCAGCAUGCCCGCGGUUCCGAAUACGUUCCCGGGCCUU